ensembl:lncRNA
ACCUGAUUCAGUGCCUUGUUCUUCUUUAAUACAUGAACAGCAAUCAUAUUUACAGUCUGUCCCCUUAGGGAAGGAAUCAAAAGGGAAAACCUCACCAGAAGAGGAGGGAAAAACAACAACAACAACAACAAAAACUGGAAGAAUUUCAGAGGACUAACAGUUCUGACAGAAGCUCUCAGAUCCAGUCUAGAAUGGCUGAUCACCAAAUAAAACAGAUCCCAAAGUGGAGUUGUCUGGAAGAGCCAUGCAUCUGUGGAUGCGUGGAUCUCAACAGAUAAGACCGAGACCUGUCAGGACAUGUAAUUAGACUAAUUAGGUUUUGAGGAACCCUGAAGCUAGAAGGUACAGUUCAUUUUAUAUUUGGAUAGAGCUAUCAUACUAGCGCUGUGCUGGAACUCAUCAAUGGAGCAAUAAAGUAAUCACACGCACCUCUCCACUACCAGUUUCAUUUGAACUUUCUGUCAUUUCCCCUCCUUCCCUUCCUCUGAAGUUCUGCCUCUGCCAGUAUUUCCUGUUUCUG